rfam:Trichomalopsis sarcophagae strain Alberta scaffold8, whole genome shotgun sequence.
CCUUCGAUAGCUCAGUUGGUAGAGCGGUGGACUGUAGUUGGUUUAUUAACAAUAAAUGAAAUCAGAAAUCCAUAGGUCGCUGGUUCAAAUCCGGCUCGAAGGA